GGAAGCAGGCCCGAUGCAGGGAGCCCGAUGCAGGGAGCCCAAUGCAGGACUCGAUCCCGGGACCCCAGGAUCACACCCUGGGUUGAAGGUGGGUGCUCAACCGCUGAGCCACCCAGGCGUUCCAUGGGCCAAAUUCCAAACCCACACUUAUGACACUUGGAAAUGAGCAUUUAAAAGUUCUCAUAGGGAUCAAUGCCAUUUAGAGGUUUUAUCUAAAUGAGUAUUUCUUAUACUUUUAAAAGAGGCUUAAGAAGGAAAUGAUUAUGCUUUGUAAUACCUACUAGAUAGUUCAGCUCACUCAAAGAGUAUUAGCUGAAUUGAGUUUAUGUUAGUUCCUACUUGCAACCAAAGAACUGACUCUGCCACCCUUCAGUUCAGAUCUUUUUUCCCCCCUAUUUCUCAGAAGUUUGAACUCUUAUUAUGGGCUCCUUACUUCACGUCCUUGAUGAUCUUGCCUGGGCCUCCUCUCCAGCCUCCACCAUCUUAUCUGUCCUCCCCAUGGCCUCACUCCAGCCAUGCUGAACUACUUGCCAUUCUCUCUAUAGAUCCUGGGCUUUUGCACUUCCUAUUCUGCUGGGAACCCCUUUGGCCAACUCUUAAUCACUCUUUGUGAGUUAGCUCAACUGUCACCACUUCAAAUGGCCAACCCCCGCCCCCUGUAGUCUUGUAGCAGUGUCUUCCUCUGAGUUCCACAACAUCCUACAUUUACUUAUCAUACGUUGUAUUAUCAUUGUCCUUUUGCCUGCCCGUCUUUCCCGUAGGCAUGAGAACAUGCUGUUAAGAGCUUAGGGUGGGUUUCAUCCUUGGCUCUGACAUGUGUGUCCUUGAAAAACAUUGCUUCUCCUCUCUGAACCUUAAUCUCCUCAUCUGUAAAAUGGGCAGUAAGAGAGGUAAUUUCUGUGGCACACAAUGCCUGGCAUGUAGUAAGUCCAACGUUAGCUAUGCAUCUUCAGAGCUGAUCCUUUUAAAUUGAUGAUCAGUGGAGUGGUAGCUCUGCCUAGACCAGUGGUUUUCACGUUUCUCUCUGCCUCAGAACUACCUGGAGGGCUUGCUAAAACACACAUUGCUGGGCUCCACCAUGAGUUUUUGAUCCAGUGGGUCUGGAAUGGAGCUGCAGAAUUUGCAUGUCUAAUUGGUUCUCAGGUGGUGCCAUUGCUGAUUGUUGUGGGACCACACACUGAGAACCAGUAGGCUGGGCAGCUGGGGAGGGUGGAUGUCUGAUGAAAGUGAUUGAAUACUUGGUGCUAAAAUAAACUCAUACUAGAGCAUAAGGCACUUCCCUCUCCAGCGGAUGUGGACAUGGUGUAUCUAUCUGUUAAUACAUCCAUCCAUUCAGCCAAUAUUUGUUGAGAAUCUACUGUGUCCAGGCGUUGUGCUAGACCUUGGCGACAGAGCGGUGAAGGACACAGACACGAAGGUCUCCGAUGUUGAUGAGUUCAUAGUAUAAUGGCCCUGUUUUGGAGGGCAGGGCAUCAUAAAUGUAUGUGUCCCAUCAGUCCCAAUUCUAGGGGCACGGUUGGUCUGAGGAACGGCUAACUUUAAGGAUACCGAUGUCAGUAAUUGCCUUCCUGUUGAUUGCAUCAUCGUGAUUGCCUCUAAAUAACCGAUUUUGCCAAAAUGAUAAAUCAAAACUGAUUAUGGUAAUCCUAUAAUCCCCUUGUCUGGAACUGUAGCCAUCAAUUGGCACUGGUCUUAGGGUGAAGUCAGCCCAUGAAACAUGGCAGAGCAGAGUCCAGAGAAUCAGAGCCAGGCUGUGAUAUAACAUCCGUUAAAUGAUAUGAUACGUAUCCUUAUUAUUAUUAUUAUGAUUAUCACUAGCCAAUUUGAGUAGGAGUUUUUUGCUAUUGGUGCUGAAAGUUCCCUAUGAUGUAAUAGCUCUCCUUUACUAAGUGCUCAUGAUGUGCCAGCCACCAGCUGCCCAGCGUAGGCACCAGUACUGUCCCAUUGUUGAGGGACAAAACUGAGAGGUUAAGUCACUUGCCCGCCAGGUGGGUGCAGAGACGUGAGAGGUAAGGCUGUGUUAUGGAGCAUAAAAUGCUGGCGAGGGGAACUCAAAUGCUUUGCAGUGAAACCAGCCUACACGCUUCACAGUCACACUGUGCUGCCUUAAGCUUCUUCUAACUGAUAAGAAUGGAAAACCCAACCAACCCACUUUAUCUUUGUCUGUUGGACUGGGAAUCAUGGAGAGCAGUUGAUUUGCCCAGGUUGGCUCUCUUGUUCUAGUUCUCUUCACUAAACUUGACUGCUUUCUAGAAGCUGGUCAACAAACACAUUCUUAAGACCUUUUUUUGGCUGAGCCUCCUGGUUAGGGAAUCAGGGAAAAGGGCUUGGCUGGAGACGGUAGCACCCUAAGUCCUCGAACUCCCCCAUGUGGCCAGAUUUCAACAAAAACAUCCUUCUGUGAGAGUCAAUCACGGAAGCAGUGAGCUCCUCGGAUGGCAACCAUUGCCAGAAGUGCAGCUGGGGGCCAUUUUGUCAAGAAGUGCUCUUUUGGAGAGAGAGAGAGAGAGAGAGAGAGAGAGAAGGCAUACAGGUGCAUGCCAGUGCCCUCAUAAUAAAGUAUAACAAAGGUGGCAAUUAAGUUCAGUUAGAGGUAUACAGCUUGAAAUUAGACAAUGUAUUCAGAAAGCACUCUAUAAACUGCCAAGCGCCAGAAUGUGAGGCAUUAUUAUUGUUAUCCUUACUUUUCUGGAAUUGCCCGGGUUGCUCUGUCUGCUAUGACAAGUUAAAGGACCAGGGGAUGCAGAAGAUAAAGUGAGUCACUUUCUGGGGGACAGAAGCAGAGCCGCAAGGGUUAAGCCCUCCAGAACACCAAUUUAUGCAAAGGGCUGGAUCCCAACCGGCUUUCAGGCCAGCGCUAAGAUCUGAAUUACAAAUUUACAGAAUUUGCUGCUCGGUAAGUAAUUUCUUUUCUCCCUAAUGGAGCCCAUAAUUUCCAGUGGGCCAGUGCCCACUGUGUGUUCACUGAUCAAGUGAGGAAGAUCCAGACUGCAGAGGAGCCCAAUUUCUACCCACCGUGCGAACCGCCUUUUAAGAAGGCUUAAACAGGGACAUUGGGAGGAUGGUUAAAACCAGUGCUGAGCUUCCCUGCGACUCUGCAGAGCGCUUGCCCUGUGUCUGCAACUUGGGUAUGCCUCCCCUUCCCUAGAUGAUGAAUUCACCAGGGACCUCACGGGCCGCUGAGAACAAGCGCGCUUUUGAAUGAAUUCUUUUAUGGAUAUCAGUCAAAAAGUCACCGUCAGCUGGAACUGGAAAGCAGAGUCUUUUUGCUUUUGUUUUUCCCCCACUGGCGGCCGUUUCAGCUCAAAAGCUCAAUUCUUGGAAGGGCCACUUCUUCCUGCCACUGAAGACACACUUCCCCAUGCACCUAAAAAUAAAAAGUAAAUAAAUAA